rnacentral:rRNA from 1 species
UACAGAGGUGGCAAGCGUUGUUCGGAAUUACUGGGCGUAAAGGGCGCGUAGGCGGUUCGUUAAGUCCUGUGUGAAAUCCCCCGGCUCAACUGGGGAACUGCACAGGAAACUAGCGGGCUUGAGUUCGGGAGAGGGAAGCGGAAUUCCGGGUGUAGCGGUGAAAUGCGUAGAUAUCCGGAGGAACACCGGUGGCGAAGGCGGCCUCCUGGACCGACACUGACGCUGAGGCGCGAAAGCUAGGGGAGCAAACGGG